rnacentral:rRNA from 1 species
GACGAACCACACAAACGUUAUUCGGAAUUACUGGGCUUAAAGGGUGCGCAGGCGGCCUGACAAGUUGGGUGUGAAAUACCUCGGCUUAACCGGGGAAUGGCGCUCAAAACUGUCGGGCUUGAGGGAGAUAGAGGUGAGCGGAACUUAAGGUGGAGCGGUGAAAUGCGUUGAUAUCUUAAGGAACACCCGUGGCGAAAGCGGCUCACUGGAUCUCUUCUGACGCUCAGGCACGAAAGCCAGGGGAGCGAACGGG